UACGUAGGUCCCGAGCGUUAUCCGGAAUUACUGGGUGUAAAGCGUCUGUAGGCUGAAGUGUAAGUUAAAUACGAAAGACCGAAGCUCAACUUCGUGUUUGUGUUUAAGACUGCAUUUCUAGAAUAAGGGAGAGGUAAGUGGAAUUGUGAGAGUAGGGGUGCAAUCCGUAGAUACUCACAAGAACACCAAAAGUGAAGACAACUUACUGGAACUUUAUUGACGCUGAGAGACGAAAGCGUGGGGAG
rnacentral:rRNA from 1 species